AUGUGGGAGUCUCAUGACUCUUUCUCGCCAUUGUUAUCUAAUCUUUGGCAGGGAAAGGGAAAGGCCACCACAUGUGGCGAGCUACAGCACAAGCUGGAAUCCAUCUCGACCAAGUUGCAAUCUUGGGAACGUGACACCUUUGGUAGUGUUAAAAGGCGAAUCAGCGAACUUACCACUGAGCUGGGAAGACUGAGAGCUGAUCCGAUCCGGGUUGGCCCUAGUCAUGCGGAGAUAAAGAUCAGCAACAUGCUCAUUGAAUUACAACAGAGAGAGGAGGUGAUGUGGCGCCAAAGGUCGAGGAUCCAAUGGUUGUCUGAAGGUGACAAGAAUACAAAAAAUUUUCAUCUCCGUGCUAGUCAGAGAAGGAAGAAAAAUCGUAUUACUCGGUUGAGGAGGGAAGAUGGAGCGUACACGGAGGAUGAGGCAGAAAUGUGUGCGCUCGCAAUAGCCUUUUAUACUGACCUAUAUGGGUCCGAGGCGACUCACGGCUUGGAGGAGGUUCUAAAUGUGGUACAGACCAGGGUGACACAUGACAUGAACGAGCUGUUGGUCGCCCCUUUUGAUGGAAAGGAGGUUAGGACGGCAUUAUUCCAGAUGUUCCCGACCAAGUCUCCUGGUCCGGACGGGUACCCGGCACACUUUUUCCAGCGCCAUUGGGCAGUGUGUGGGGAGGAAGUUACCAUGGCAGUGCUACGGUUACUGCGAGGUGAGGAAGAUAUGGCAUCUAUUAAUCAAACCUUUUUAGUGCUGAUUCCUAAAGUUGCCAGCCCGGAAGAUCUUAGCCAGUUCAGACCUAUAGCAUUGUGCAAUGUUUUAUACAAAAUUGCCUCAAAGGUUUUGGCGAAUCGUUUGAAGAUAAUCCUCCCGGAGAUUGUAGCAGAGGAGCAGUCGGCAUUUGUUCCUGGGCGCCUUAUUACAGAUAACAUUAUUACUGCUUUUGAAUGUCUACAUUUUAUGAAGGGAAACAAAGCAAAGAAGAAUAAUUUCUGUGCUCUCAAGCUGGACAUGAGGAAAGCUUAUGACGGAAUUGAGUGGAGCUACCUACGUGCAAUCAUGUCCAAGCUUGGUUUUCACCAACAGUGGGUUGAUAUGGUAAUGAGGCCUGUCUCAACAGUCUCUUUUUCCAUUCUCUUCAAUGGUGUGAAGUCUGAAAAGUUUGCCCCCUCCCGAGGUUUAAGGCAAGGUGAUCCAAUAUCUCCGUAUUUGUUUUUGUUAGCAGCAGAGGGCUUAUCAAGCCUCAUAAAAGAUCGUUGUGAAUCAUCAGCUCUUCAAGGUGUAAAAGUGGCAGAGUCAGCACCGGCGAUAAGCCACUUACUGUUUGCAGAUGAUUGCCUGCUGUUUUUCAAGGCAAAUCUGGAGAGUGUGAAUCACAUUCGGGAUGUUUUGGAAUUAUAUUGUAAUGCGUCAGGGCAGCGAGUAAAUCUGGACAAAUCGUCCAUUUUCUUCAGCAAGGGGUGCUCGGAGGCAUUGAGACAUGAUAUUAAAGAUUGGCUUGAUGUCCACCAGGAGACCCUGAAUGAGAAAUACCUAGGAAUGCCAAUUGACGUGGGGCGAGAUAAAAAUGGUAAACUCCAGUUCUUGAAAGACAGAAUAUGGAAGCGGGUGCAGGGUUGGUUUGAGAAGACAUUGUCAGCAGCAGCUAAAGAUGUCCUCAUCAAAUCUGUAGCGCAGGCAAUACCCACUUACUCGAUGUCAUGUUUCAGGUUACCAAGAGGCUUAUGCCAGGAGAUCAAUUCCAUCCUACGUAAGUUCUGGUGGGGAUGUAAAGCUGGUGAACGAAAAGCUUGCUGGGUGGCAUGGUCGGAUAUGACAAAGCCACGGUACAUGGGAGGACUAGGGUUUAGGGACAUAGAAUUGUUCAACCUAGCUCUUUUAGCUCGUCAAGCAUGGCGGGUUCUACAAUCACCAGAUAGUUUGAGUGCGAGGAUACUCAAAGCGAGAUACUUCCCAGCAACAGAAUUCUUGCAAGCAGAUUUGGGCUCGCGACCGUCGCAGGUAUGGCGAGCCAUCCUUGAUGGGAGAGAUACUCUAAAGCAAGGGAUAAUUAAGAGAAUUGGUACGGGCGAAGCUACCGAUCCAUGGAAUGACAACUGGCUGCCCCGAGAUGGAAGACUACGACCUAUUGCUUGCCUGGCGGCGCAUGCCCCUUCCAGGGUGAGUGAGUUCAUUGAUCGUACGUCAGCAACAUGGAACUGUGAGAAGCUUAAGGAGUGUUUCCUGUCGAUGGAUGUGGAGGCGAUUCUGAACCUCCCUUUGUCGACCAGGAACCAGCAGGACGAGUGGGCUUGGCACUACGACCGCAAAGGGGUUUUUACAGUUCGAUCAGCAUACAAGAUGCUUGUGCAUACCAAGACAACAAGGGAAGCUUGGCUGGAGGGGUCAGCUGCUUCGUCUGAUACAAAAAGGUAG
rnacentral:rRNA from 1 species